GUUGCUGUUCCUUUUAAUCUCAUUUCAGAUGCAUCCAUCAGAUGGAAAUCUUGUUUACAAGAAAGCAAACCAAGAAGGAAGUGCCAAUGGAAUACCCUACCAAGGAUGGGUUGAACUCACGAAGAAUAUCUGUGGAAAGAGACAGCACCCUGAAAUAUUGUUUCCUGCAGCAGGUCUGUUCCAGCCAUGCUACAUGGUACUCUAGAUAUCCACUAGUUGGAGUAUUUUCUUUAUCACAAAUAAUAGUCCAGCCAUGUGCCAUCAUGCAAAAUGUGACAUCAAAGCCAAUUUCCACAAGCCUUCAUUGGCUACACAAACUGUAUCAAUCAAAACUGAAGAAAAUGGAUUCUCUCCCACUGAGGGGAAAAUUUCUGGGACUCACCUCCAAGAAAGACCUCGGUACUGAGUCAGGACAUCCAGAACAUCAUGGGGUCUGGAUCCUGCCCCAUUAGCUGCCUGGAGGAAGAAGAGGAGUUCACCUUCAGAAAAUAAGCAUUGCUACAGUAACUAGUUCUCUGACUCAUGCUAGUGAGAAUAAUUUAAAAGCAUAAUCAUGAAGCAAGCUACAUCAUCUUCUCAAAAUAGAACAGAUUCCUGUUCUCAAGAAGAUCAAAGGCUGAAGGUAUUUUAACUCCACUCCAGUGAAUUACCCUCUUCUAUCA